GGCGUUUUCACUCUGCGCACUCUGUCUCGAGACAAAGCGUGUUCGGUUCAGAAGUCUGAGAUGUGAACACAACCGAGUCGGGAUUUGGCCGCGGACUUGUUCCCGGAUGGAGAGCUGCACCUUGUCCACGAGGGCAUAGCCUCUCCAGAAAGUCCUCUGUUGCUCCAUCUGUCCCCUCAGCCGCAGACAGAGAUGCUCUAAUCACCUCACAUAGCAGGGCUCGCAUGGGAAAAGACUACACAGCCACCACGCUGCCUCGGAUUCAGAGCCGCUACUGGAUGCCAACAGCUCACAGGGGAUCUCCCACGCCGGCCUGGAACACCCAUGCCAAGUCAGGGUUUGUGUGAAGUAUAUGUGACAUAUGCCGAAUGUGCCGGCCGUCCAUCAGUAGCCUCACAUCAAAAUGGCCCUCAAAGGACAAAGCUCUGUUUGGAAGCAAACUGCAGGUUUACAUUAAGCGUCACAUGAAGUAUGGCCAUGGAGUAUCACAGCAGGAGGGCUUGGAAGCAGAUUUCUAUGUGGUGGAAUAUCAGGAAAAUACAUCUAAUUGCGAGAGAGUGAGCGACAGAGAGGAGCAGUAAUUGAAGUAAAAUAAACUUUCUUUGACAGCCCUGCAUGUGUUCUGAAGCUGCCACAGAUCCAUGCAUUAUUUAAUCUCACCGCGUGCCCUGCAGCUUCAUAUCUCACCUGGCUUCUACUUCAGUCUAUUACUCGCACACGGAUUGACAACUUCUGACUUCUCCAUAUAUAUAUAUAUAUAUAUAUAUUUUUUUUUUUUGCUUUUAAACACCUUGCAGACGACUUUCAUGUGCUCCUUUUGUGGGACUCUCCUCUGAUUUUUGGAGCGGAAUGGGGAAACUUUCCGGCGGUGUUAGAAAAGUCUUCUCAUCUUGGAAGAGGAGCAGCCGAAGAAUCUCGGCGAAGAUGACAGCCAUCGUGAAAGGGCAGAUAAACCCGUGUGGCUUUACUGCUGAUUGUGUGUUUAGCUGGUUCUGAUCCGACCUCGAUUCUAAGCCCUGUCUCACUGCCCACCGCCCCCCAUGCCAUUGUCUUCUGCAUGCCAUUGAAAUCGUCUUGGAACUCUUGCAGGAGACGGGAAUAAACUAUAUAUAUAAUCUCAGCCGCAACUGUGAUUUUGUUCUUCAGUCACAGACUGACAAGCAGCCAUUGAAGGCCAAAUGAAGGGUUUCUAUAUGUGAUCAUGAACUAAACUGAGGGUUAAAACUAUUAGAAAACACAGAGGUUUCAACUCAAUAACAGUCUGAUCUGGCACUGCAGUCAGACAAGAAAACAAUGUCAGUUAUUGGUGGCUAGAUUUAGUAUAAAGCGUCUCCAUGCUUCAACCAUCUCCAUGCGUCUACACAAGAGACACUGCACAAACACACAUUUGCUUUCCCAUCUUUGACUGACCCUUCCCAUGCCAAACCCUUUCAUCUCCAGCAAAUGCUCUUUUCCUUUGUAAACACAAUAACUGACCGACAUAUUUCUGAAUCUUUCAGGACUGGACAUGGACAACCCUUAAAGUAAUUUCAU